CGGAUCCGGUGUUGCAUCCUUGGAGCGAGCUGAGAGCUCGAGGUGAGCUGGGCUCGCGGUCGCCCCUCUCGCGCGCCCUCUUUAAGAACCACGGCGUCCAACCUCCCUGGAAAUGGGGGGAACAUGGCCGAGGCGCGUGGCGAGGCCGCCUCGUGGAGGCCCCGGAGCGGCAUCCUCAGCGCCCCAGCGAUCCGGUGCCCAUUAGAACCUGCUAAGGCCAUCAAACCUAUUGAUCGGAAGUCAGUCCAUCAGAUUUGCUCUGGGCCGGUGGUACCGAGUCUAAGCACUGCGGUGAAGGAGUUAGUAGAAAACAGUCUGGAUGCUGGUGCCACUAAUAUUGAUCUAAAGCUUAAGGACUAUGGAGUGGAUCUCAUUGAAGUUUCAGGCAAUGGAUGUGGGGUAGAAGAAGAAAACUUCGAAGGCUUAACUCUGAAACAUCACACAUCUAAGAUUCAAGAGUUUGCCGACCUACCUCAGGUUGAAACUUUUGGCUUUCGGGGGGAAGCUCUGAGCUCACUUUGUGCACUGAGUGAUGUCACCAUUUCUACCUGCCAUGUAUCGGCGAAGGUUGGGACUCGACUGGUGUUUGAUCACUAUGGGAAAAUCAUCCAGAAAACCCCCUACCCCCACCCCAGAGGGAUGACAGUCAGUGUGAAGCAGUUAUUUUCUACGCUACCUGUGCACCAUAAAGAAUUUCAAAGGAAUAUUAAGAAGGUACAGUAAAUUAAUCCUGGUUUUCAAGAAUAUUGGUUAAUGCACAUGAGCAAAAGAUUUACUAAAGAUGUUUAUUCUUCAGUUGAUUCCCUUCCCCUAAUUUAUUGAGAAAUGCUUUAUUUGCAUUUCUCAUUAAAGACUUAACUUCAGAAUGA
rnacentral:lncRNA from 1 species